AGUCCCACUGCUCUGUCACUAAAUCUCAGUUGGGUUCUAGAAAGGACUGGCUGCGCCGCGGGCUGGGCGCGGCUCGGCCGCGGAGGACUCUCACUUCCUGUUUCAUCUACGCCAAGGAUGCUGGCUUGGCUUGGGGCGGUGAGUGAGCCCGGACCGGAGACCGCAGCCUAGAGGCGUGGAGGGGGGCGGCGCGGAAGGGAUGAGGUCUACACCGCGAGGGGGAGCGCGUCCUUCUGCUCUGCCUGUUCCUCAGCGGUGACCCUCUGUGGCUUCCUGUCUUUUGGGACCCUGUGGCCGCCUGGAGCACUGCGAGGAAGAGCCGCUGUAGGCCACACCCAGCCGUCACAGUCGUAUUCAUAACCCCUGCGAGCCACAGCCCCUAGCGCCUCGAGGCUUCAGAGACUGAAGACCCUCAAACAUAUGGCUGUGGACUUCAGGGAAGAGUGGGUUACCUGGACACUGCUUGGAGAAUCCUGUUCAGGGAUGCCACCCAACUUGGUUAGGAGAAUGGGCUCUCAGAGGACUUUGAGCAUCAGGUGACAAAACUCCAUCAGGACAUUUUUGAAACAGCAGAACACUAUGGAAGGAGAGCGCUCUUAGGAAAUAUUUCUCAAACUGCCAGUUGGGGAGGAAACUGGAGGUGGGCCCUGGAAGUGAAAGGGCCUCAGAGGAGCCUUCCUGGAGAGGACCAGCAGGAGUCCUCUGCCCAGGGGAGAGACUUGAACCAGCUCCUGGGAGGUAUGUGGGGCAGCAGCCUGUGUGCACGGAAUGUGGGGAGAGCUUUAAGUAGAGGUCCAUCUCAUGAGGCACCGAAGGACUCACACUGGCCAGAGGCAUUACGAGUGCAUCGAGUGUGAGAAAGGCUCCAAGCAGAGCCAGACGUUGUCACUUGCCUCAGAACACACACAGGUGGGAAGUCCCGUCAGCGCUGGGAGUGUGAGAAGAGGUUCAGUGACAGCUCGACCCUCACAGACAUAGAGGACCCACACUGGGGAGAGGAACUCCACCUCAUUGUGCACCAAAGAACACACACAGGAGAGAAGCCCACAGGUGCCUUCAACGUCGUAAGAGCUUUAGUUGAAGCUCACAUUUCAUCACCCACCAGAGGAUCCACAUGGGGCUGAAGCCUUAUAGGUGCAGUGACUAUGAGUGUUUUAGCCAGCGCUCAGCCUUGGUUAAGCACCAACGGACCCACCCAGGGAAGGACCCACGAGUGUGACCAGUACGGGAAGAGCGCUCACUUCACAAUGUAUUCCGGCAGAAAGCGCAUCCUCUGGGCCAGCAGAAUACUCAUUUGUUUUAGAAAAUAUUCUUUAGCAGUUCUUUACUCCCUUCUAAAUUUCCAGUACUACUGUUUUCAGAUCCCUCAAAGGGAAGAAACACAAAUAUGGGUGGCUCAAAUCAGAAGCCAGUCUGUUCUCUUUCCUGUGUUACAAUGAGCAGGACAAACUCGGAGCAUCCGGAUAAUGUUCUGAGUGCAAGACAUUCCUGCAGUGUGUUAGCCAGCUCGUAGGGAAGUUGGAGUUUAAUAGUUGCUGCCCAGUGACUAAUGAGAGGGGAGAGAAUGUGGGCUGUAGAUCUUGUGGAAACCAUCGAGGAGGUGCUCGAUCUGAUGAUUAAUAUUUGAAGGCUUGGGCUGUAAGUGUAGCUCAGUAGCAGAGCACUUGCCUGGCAUGCACAAGGCCCUGAGUUUAAUUCCUAGUGCUGAAAGCAACCGAGGUCAUACAGAAGGCCUUUAAUGCAGUGCCUGACCCUUAAAAAGAUACUCAGGACAAGCUUAGCUGUUUUUAAUCAGCCUUAUUAAUCAGUCAGGAAUUUAUUAGUGUAUCCACCCCAGUCCAGAAUUUGCAAGAAGGUCGAUUAGAACCAGAAGGUUUGGGGUCUGAACACAUACGUUCCACAAAAUGGAAAGUCUCUCCCAGCCUGCUGCUGGGCGGGUAUUAGUCACAGUUGUCUCGGCAUCGUGACAAAGCAGAAUUAGCCUGAAGGAUGUUGUGGUUUUGUGACUUAGAGGCUGAAAGAAUCUCAGAAGCUCUGGGCACAGCAGUAUAUGGGAGGUGGGGAUUGUUCUGUAGUCAUCUGAGGCAUAGGAAGACUCCUGCCACAAACCAGCCCAGGGGGAUCUGGAGGAGGAUUAUAAAAUCCUGGAAGCAAAACUGCUGAGACUGUGCAGUGAUGUCACAGGGCCGCUUCCUGACAUUUAACUGAAGGAACUAACUCGUUUGCUAAUUUGCUGGAUCAGUAGGCCCCUUUGGUUUUAGGUUAGAGCAACUCUGGUCCUUUCAGAGCCAUGUAUUUUAUGGGCCCGUACCUGCCUAUAUUUAAUUGAAAUAAGUUGAAGGAAGUCAGUAUAGUGUGUUGGACAGGACACCAGCGUCCUUGAGAAACAAAAAUAUUUGAUUCCUGGCUCUGACACUUCAUUUUGCCUGACCCUCACCUUCCCUCAGCCCCACGUUCUACCUCCCUUACCUGCCUCACAAGGUGGCAGUGAGGAUCUGAAACCCACGCACGCACACACGCUUUGUCGGUAAAUUUUAAAUGUAAUGUCUCCGAAGUUUAAUAGUACAGUAUCAUUGCUAUAGUCUAUUUCCUCAAGGUCUGGCUCUCUCUUUCAGUGUCCCAUAUUCUCCUGGAAUGAGGGGAUUGUCUUUACUGUCUUGAAAAUGCUAGUGGAGCCUGGUGGCACCUGUCUACAGGAGGGCCACACAAAGUUCAAGGGUAGCCUGAAUUUUAAAAUAAAAAAAGAAGAAGAAAAGAGAAAAGAAAACGGCAUUGCUAGCUGACAUGAGUCAUCAUGAGUCACACGGUUAGGAGGAGAGCCAGAUCUGCUUGCUGGCCACAGACUUCCAGUCUGGAGUCUUGGACAGUGCGGAUCUGACCAGCUCUUGGGAUUUGCUAGCAUGGGUCUGAGACUCUACCUGACCAGAGGACCCAUUUCCACUGAGCCCUGAACCUGGCAGUGACAGAGGGAGGUGGCCCGAGUCUCCCUUCCCCUCUCCUCUCCCGCUCCCUCUCUCCUUUCCCUGUCUCCCUCUUUUCCCCUCCCUCUCUUCCUCUCUCUCUCUUUCCCCUCUCCCUCUCUCUGUCUUUCCGCCUAACCCCCUCUCCGUCUGCUUCUCCCUCCAUCCCUCCCUUUCUGUCACUUGUUUGUUGAGGAAGCCUAGUUGAACCCUAGUGUAUCCCACUAUUUUGUUCAUAGUAUACUAUGGGGUUUCUUUAACUUGUGCCUCUUUCCCCUGCUUUCCUGGUACUGGUAACUGGUUCUAGAGGCCUGAUCAAAUUCAGAUAUUAAUGUGUCAGAAACACUCCACAGAGGACUGAGUGUGUAGCUAGUGAUUGAGCACUUGAGUGUCCCGUGCAAGGUCCUAAUUGGAUCCCUAGUACAGCAAAAGAAUAAUAAUAAUAAUACUGAUGAUGAUGAUAGUACUCCACAGUGACCUGACAUCCAUCAGGAGAUACGUAGUAUCAUAGUAUUAUCUUGUCUCUCUUCUUUUUUUUUUUCAAACUUUUCAAAUUUUUUAUUUUUUAUUAGUAAAUGUUUGCAAUACCUAAUGAUUACAUUCCUCAUGAGAAUUAUUACAUGCAUAUAAUGCUUCUUAAUAUUUUUGUUUUGUUUUUGGUACCAGGCUUCGAACUCAGGACCUAGUGCUUGCCAGGCAGGCACUUAUGCUGCUGAGCUAAAUCCCAGCCCUUUUGUCUGUCUUCUUGUAAUGUCAGCAGCCAUUAGCCACUCCUUAUUUCAUCUGGAAUUAGUAAAUGGUGACAUUUUAUUUUAUUUUAUCUAUUUUUUGAGAUAGGGUCUCGCUGUGUAGUUCCGGCUGGCCUUGACUCACUAUAUAGCUCUUAAACUCACAGUGAUUCUCCUGCCUCAGCCUCCCAAGUGCUGGGAUCACAGGUAUGUGCCACCUGGCUGUGGUAUUUUAUUUCUAUGAUUCCUCCUUUUUUUCUUAGUUGGAAUAUUCUAUAAAGUAAACUCCCUUUUAUCUACUAUUUAGUUCCCCUAAGGUAAGACAUAACACCAUAGCUGCUUAACUAGAACCCUUUGUUUUUUAAUAUUACUGUCUCUAUUUUAGCCCCUGGGACCCAGAUCUCUAUGCCCCUCCUUUGGGAGAUCCUGUUCUUACAGGAAAUUUCUAUCCAUCUGUAAAUCUCAUAAUAACUUUUCAAAUGUGCCCUGUUGCUCUUCUCUUACUCCCUCCUGGGGUGUCUAGGUUUACACAAGUCCGAGCUGCAAAGAGCAUAGUAAAUACUCAAGUGAAUCUCUAACUUGUUUCCCAGUAAUAUCUUGGCCCAAAGCAGGAGAAAAAACUACAUCCUUGUUAGCUGGGAGUGGUUUGUAUCCUUGUUUUGGUAAUGUGAAUAUAAACCAUCUUCCUUUAUCUACCCAGGUGUUGCUCUAAAUCAACACCAUCAGUCUGUCAACAGUUUAUAAAAAUCUGAUGAGAAGGUGGGACCAGAGCCCAGUGGCAGAGCUAAGGAGCAAGUAGCACACGUGAAAUCCAUGAGUCUGUCUGCACAGGGCUGGGAGUGCUUUGAGCAGGAGGAGCUGCAGAGGAGUGCAGCGGGAAUGAGGGCCCUCCGAAGUGAAAUUCGGAGAAUGCGCACUGGAUGGAUGUGGGUCCUGAAAGGGUGUUUGGUGAGGGGAGGCAGUUGGAGGACAUCUGAGGGAUGCAGAAGCUACAUUAUUCACAAAAGCCCUUAAGGACUGUGAUUUGUGCUGUUUGUCUAGGAGCGAGCUGGGGUUAGGUGGAGGAUCUGGGAAUGCACGGAAUCGGAGGUCAGAAGAGGCAGCCUCAAGUUUGGGCAGCUGCUUUGCAGCCCCUUGUCCACGUCAGGUCCAUUCACCAUGCUAGGCCCCAAUCAGAGAGUUGAAUCAGAUAAAGAUCCCUUCAGGCUCUAGCAGUUGACAGACCUGAGCUAGGCAUAGUGGUGCAUGCCUGUCAUGCCAGCACUCAGGAGGCUGAGGCAGGAGAAUUGCUGCAAGUUUGAGGCCAGCCUGGGCUACAAAGUGAGCUCAAGGUUAGCCUGAACUGCAUAGUGAGACCCUCAAAAAACACAUCUCCCACAAACCCGAGGCCUCAAUUCCAUCCCAUGUAGGGGGCAGUUGCUUCCACACAUGUACCUUCCUGUUUAGAGAGACCCAAGCCCGUGACCUGGAGGCCUGUCCACUCCAGCUAUGGUGCCUUAGGCUCCCAGGUUCUUUUUUUUUUUUUUUCUUUUCUUUUUUUUGUCUUUUUCCUUUUUAUCGGUACCGGGGAUCGAACUCACAACCGCCUGCUUGCAAGGCAGGUGCUUAUGCCGCUGAGCUAAACCCCCAGCCCAGGCUCCCAGGUUCUUAGAGGAAAGGCAGAACUCAUAGUUGCUGUGGAAAUCUGUGGACCUCCCCAGCUCCGGCCCCUCACACCUUGUCAGGAAAUUGAGUCUUUCUCCUACCUGUGUGUUUUUCAUGUCCUAUGUCUACAGGUUGCUGAUGCUGGGAGAUGGGAGCUUUCGAAGGGCAAAGCUUUUUACUUGCAGGGAAUAUUAAAGUGGCCUCUUCAGCAUACAUUCCCUUUGCUUCUGCCCUCUGACUGGACAAUUCACUUCUUGCUCUGUGUAUCCUCCCUCACCCCAAACUUGAGGUCACCACCCAGUGCUCUCAGGGUCCCCUCUUGGGUUCCUCUCAAGGAAUCUUACUAACCUCUCCAGUUCCUCUGCCACUGUCUGGUCCAAAACAACUGAGGUCACCCACCUGAAAUCCUCUAACAGCCUCCUAACUGAGCUCAAUUUUAUUUUUGCUUUUGUUUGCUUUCACAGAAGUCAGCACAAUCUUCUAAAAUUCUAAAUCUAGGGUGGGGAUACAGUGCAGUGGUAGACUGCUUCCCUAGUACAUGUGAGUUUGACUCCCAGCACCACAAACAAAACAAAACCCUAAGUCUAAUCACACUAUCUUCUUGCUCCUAUCAUUGGCUUCCUAUUGUAUGUAUGUAUUUUGGUACUGGGAAUCAAACCAGGACCAUGCACUUGCCAGGCAGGCACUUAAUGCAGCUGAGCUAUAUCCCCGGCCCUUCUUCUUGCUUUUAAAAUGAAGACUCAAGUUCUUAUCCUGAUCUAGGAACCCCUGGGUUUGGUUUCCUCCUGCUUCUGGCCACUUCUCAUGUCACCUGGCCUGUCCCUCAUGAAGCACCUGUGUCCUCUGCUCUGUGGCCACACCCAGGUUGUGCAUACCAUAGAGCCUUGGUACAAAUACUCCCUUCUUCUCCAAAGGUUGCUCGCCCAGAUCUUUUUGGAAGUAAAUUAUAGGCAUGCGCCCCAAA